AUGCCUAAGAGGAAAAAGGAAUACUAUUUCAGGAUUCACGAUGGGACUGCGCUUGCCCGUGCUCUGCCCUAUGAAACUCACUGGAAGAGCAUCCCACACGCUGGGAUGGUUGAGCAACUCGACUCCUUUACACAGAGGAACAACGAGGUAGAGAAGGUUCCCGUGGGGAGCCAGGCAGAGCUACCUGGCUCGCUUGGGUUCAGCUGGCUGUCCCUCCUGGCCGCCUCUGAGGUCACUGGUCCCCUUGUUGGUGAGGAACUUGAGGCUACACCUUGGAGGAGCAUCUGGUCAUGGAUGAUCUAUCCGAAGGCUGAGGACACUGGAGGAUAUGAGGGCCCUGGGCUGGGACAUGCAUCACUCCGGAGUACGGCCAAGGCUCUUCUACACCAUCGCUGCAUCCAGGAGCACCAGGUCCUGCACGGCAAAACAGAAGCGGUCCCAGAACAUCCCCAGCGAUGGACAUAA
rnacentral:lncRNA from 1 species